UACAGAGGGUGCGAGCGUUAAUCGGAAUUACUGGGCGUAAAGCGCGCGCAGGUGGUUUCUUAAGUCUGAUGUGAAAGCCCACGGCUCAACCGUGGAGGGUCAUUGGAAACUGGGGAACUUGAGUGCAGGAGAGAAGAGUGGAAUUCCACGUGUAGCGGUGAAAUGCGUAGAGAUGUGGAGGAACACCAGUGGCGAAGGCGACUCUUUGGCCUGUAACUGACACUGAGGCGCGAAAGCGUGGGGAGCAAACAGG
rnacentral:rRNA from 1 species